AUCUGGUAGCAGGAUAUGUGCGUACGCGGCCUUUCUGAAUCUUCUGUACAACCACGAGUCGUGUCCAAAUCUUCGUCAGAAAUAUCGAAAAGCAUCAUGCAAAAUAAUAAAUGUACCUAAAAACUGACGAAACAACAAUGAAAGUAUGGUACAGCUUCCAGUGAUAACCCAUACUCAGAAUAAGAGUUCCAGCUCCCAUCUAAAAAGUAAUCUUUUAAAAGUAUGGUUUGGCUUCCGGUGAAAUCACCCAUCUUCGCACAGUUCCCAGGAUGAGUUCCAAUGCCCAUCUCAAAAGUCAUCAUUUAAAAGUAUGGUUUGUUGGCUUUCGGUGAAAUCACCCAUCUUCCAAGGAUGAGUUCCAAUGCCCAUCUCAAAAGCCAUCGUUUAAAAGUGUGGUACGGAUUCCAGUGAGAUCACCCAUCUACCUAGAAUAAGAGUUCCAACGCCCAUCCCAAAAGUAGUCUUUUAUGCAGAAGAUGAGUGUUUAAUAAUAGUUAAGACAAAGUGAAAUACCGAUGGGAAAUCAAUCAAAAUAUCAAUGGGUAACGAGCGAUAAAGAAAAAGGCAAUUCCUAACUUUGAAGGGGCUUGGACACAUGAGACCAAGCCAUGUGGAACUUGUACUUCCUGCUAGGGUCACAACAGGUUGUUGAUCUUAAAGGAACAUGUUGUCUUGGUUUGGUCGAGUUAAAGCGUUUAAAAAAGUUUGUAUUGUUAUGAAAUCGUUAUGAUUAGAAAGAGUUUUUAAAAGUUAUGAUCCACUCAAAUAUACCUCGAAAUUGCGUGGUUUUCCUUUUAACUUGCAAACUGACAAGGGUGGCCAUUUUAUAGAGUCAAAAUUCAAAACCUUGACUCCACAAAAUGGCGUGCCGUGUUAAAUUCACGAUGUAUAAGGAAAACCAUUCAAUUUCGAGGCAUAUUUGUGUGAAUCAUUAUAUUAUCCUUUUUCUAGACCAACCUGCACGCUCCAAGGCAACGUGUCCUUUUAAAGGUGCAUCAGGCUCUCCUAAGUGAGAUGGUUCUGGCAUAUUACCACAAAUGGCAAACGGAAAUAGUCCCUGUAAAGUGAGGAGUAGAGGACUGCCCUGGGCCCAAUUUCAUAGAGCUGCUAAGCAAACAAUUUCUUCCUUGAUAAAAACAGGAUUACCAACCAAAG